CACACACACACACACACACACACACAGUUGUGGUGUUUGCAUAUGUGUUCUGUGUCACUGCUACACACACUUUAAGAGCUGUAGUGCUGAUCAGAGUGUGUUCAGUCCUUUCAGAGCCACUGACACGCAGCACAAUGAUGAUGGUACUGAGUCUCCUGCUGGGGACACUGGGACUCCUCGCUCACCAGUCUUUUGGGGAAAUCGUCCUGACUCAGUCUCCAGGAUCUCAGUCUGUUUCUCCAGGAGAAUCUGUUACUCUCACCUGUAGAACCAGUGAGAGUGUUGGCAGUUACCUCGCCUGGUACCUGCAGAAACCUGGAGAAGCUCCUAAACUCCUGAUCUAUUAUGCAUCUACUCGUCAGUCUGGGAUUCCAGAUCGUUUCAGUGGCAGUGGAUCUGGAACACAGUUUAGUCUAAAAAUCUCUGGAGUUCAGGCUGAAGAUGCAGGAGAUUAUUAUUGUCAGCAGGGUAACAGCUGGCUGUACACACAGUGUUACAGCGUCGUACAAAAACCUCCCUGAGCUGUAGAGGAAGUA